UCAGUCGGCUGUGAAUCCUGAAGUUUGCUGGCAGCAUAGACAUAUCUCUGGCCUUAUGAGGGCUCACCCCAGCGUCACCCAUAGCACCGUGUUUUUAUUGUCAGUGUUCCCUUACAUGUUCACACUCACUGGAAAUGAUCAAUACAAUUAGUUUUGCUUCUUUUGCCCCAGAACAAAGGGGAUUUGUUGAUGUGACCCGGUUGUACCGAAUCGGACACAUCAUUUUCUAGCUGAACACUCAGCCUCAUCCACUCCAGGACAGCUGAGCAUCUGGUUAUAAGCUGCACGGAUCCUGACCUUUCGGCCUGAGGAUGGAAGUCUUCAGUAUCUGUACAACUUUACUCCCAAGAGCUGGUGUAGAAUGAGUUCCUCCAGCCAUGGGAGGAUCGCAGAGGGGCGCCUGCCACCUGCAGCCCAGCCUUGGUGCGCACUUUCAGCUAAGCUUGGCAGGAUCUCCAACCUCCUAAACUCUGUGUCCUGAGUAGAGCGGAAGAAGACAGCACAAAGCAACCA